CCAGGAGCUAAAAUAAGCUGAAUUCAGCUGCUUCUCACAGGCGUUGGCAGUGCCUGAAAACUAAGCGUGGAGAACGCCGCCCCUCUGCACCAGGAGAAAGCAGGGCUUCUGAAACACGUCCGGAGUAAUGCUCGCCACCGGGCGCUGGUCUCCCCUGAGCUAGCGAGGCUGGCUCCCUCUGCCCGGGGCAUGCAAGGUGAAGGCUGCCCGCCUCGGGUGAGGAGCCUGCUGGGCUCGCCCCCAGUCCCUGGACCCGGAACACAGAGCAGAGGUGCUGGAAGGCUGGCCGCAGAAGCCGGGCGCACUCCAGAGCCCGGGGAUCGGGAAGCCUGGGCAGGGCCAGUCAGUGCCGGGCUGGACGUCCCCUUGUUCUGCAAACACCUUGGGCUUCAGCCUUGGCAUCCGGUUAAGCUUCAAAGAGGAUGUAAAGUCACUGGAAAUCACAGCUGGGUGGACAGUGGAAGCCAAACAAGAGCAUGCGUCAACGUUCAGUGGGAAAUCUUGUGUUUUUUCUGAAUUAGGUGGCUGCUCUGAUCUGCUUUGCAUGUUGGUUGCUGACAGAUCCACCACAAUUUGUUUGAUUAGAAAAAUAAAAAGAACCCAACACUCA